UUUUCAACAUGACAGACGACAGACCAUGAGCACGAAGGUGGCUUUGCCAGGCCGAGGCUUAUCCAUUGCACUCCGGAUGUGCUGACACUUGUUCCCCACAUGUGGGAACCUCGACUACAUGGUUUGUGAUAUUGGGGGACUGUGUUCGUGCUCUCUCCUG